rnacentral:lncRNA from 1 species
GACGAUAAUGUCCUUCCCAACCAUAAGCUAUAUGUUAGUCAGCAGAUGGAAGCCAUGCUGCUAGCUAGGAAGGGACCAUUAAUAACUUCAUCAAUACCGGAUGUUUGUUUAUUCUUUGUAAAAAGAUAGCUUUUACCUUGAGUUCCUGGUCCAUCAUUUAGAGAGAUCAGUACCUUCUGGCUUGAAAACAAGAGGGCAGAUGACGUUUUAAUGAACUUCAAAAGUGACUAGCCAUUGACAGAUGUAUUAGUUCAUUAAAUAUGAUAGAAUAUUUCAAACUAGCAGAUAAUCAGUUGUUAUCAAGAGAAGUUUAAACUGUUUUUGUUUUUUUUACUAACAGGUUGCUAGUCAAACUGCGUGACUGAGAGAGGUGUUCCUAUGAGAGCUUUUACUGUGACACAGGUUGUCUUGUCUUUUCAGCAACCCAUCUCAAAAUGUGAUUCAUUAAGAAAUAGAAAGGCAUUAAGUCCUCAUCAGGAUGGUUGCUGAUAUUCACAAGUGUACAGUGAGAUGGUUCGUAGGCCUGGGACCUACUGUCACACAAAUUGGUGUUUCGAAAGUGCAUUUACAGGGUGAUCACAGGUGGAGUGUUUUAUUUGGCCUGUUUGUAGAAUUGAAGCCGCCUUCCCUCAGCGGACUGCGUAUCCCACUAGGCACACUUUCCUCCUUCAGCCAAGCAGACGAUCCACAAGCAGGGGUUAACAGUCUUGCUCAGUGUGUCUGACUCUGCCCUGGCCACCGCCUUCCCCUCAAUUCAGGGACUCAGCUCUGGUU